UUAUUAUUCAAUUUUGAAUACUAAAUAACGUUCGGUGAUCAUCGUUGGAUUUAUCAUCUACUCAAUUUGAAUUUCUUUUACUUGAGCUUCUAUAUAAUGGCUAUUUUUUAAAACGCAUUUCUGAAGGCACGCACAAAAA
rnacentral:lncRNA from 1 species